GGUGUGAUUGCAAUAACUGAAUAUUGGGUUUGUUUCAAUUUACAGCCAGCUGCACUGGAGUUAAGGACUAUGGGGCCUGCCUGGGUAAUACAGACAACUUCUGUCCUACCAGUAUCUCUUGCCAAUGUAAAAAUGAAAAACCUUUCUGCAGAUGUGAUUACUACAGAGUGGACUGGCAGGAGUAUUGGUACAUGGGCCCCAAAUGCAACCACCGUUGGAACACUCUAGAUUUCAUUUUAGUAGCUACUCUUCCUGCAAUAAUCCUGGUUAUCAUAGCUGUUGUAAUAUUCUACUGUGUCUACCACUGCAAAAGCAAAAAGGCUGGGAACCAGAUGAAUUCUCCAUACCAUGAAGCACACCAGAACCGUGCAUUUACGCCUGAAAUGGGUGGUAACUUGGGGCACGGUUGUCAGCAGUCACCAAGGGUAAGAGAUGUUGGUGUGUGGGGAUAUACAUGUUCCUAAUUCCAGCAGAAGGCAGGCAGGAUUAUGUGAGGCAACAGAAUGGUUUAUGAAUAGCAAAAGAAGGUCAUCUGGUAAAAUUAAAGGUAAUCUGAGUUUCCUUUUCCUACUGGGAGUGAUGCUUUCCAGUGAGGCUGGGGGGAUCAGUGGAGAUGAUCAGAAGGAUAUGGUUGUACUAAAUGUGUUGUCAUCUCAGCUGCAUGAAGUGUGAAUGGCAGCAUGUAACUACUUGUAGUAUGUAAGCCCUUGCAGAGUUCUAGCUGUAUUUACUUGUUUAAAAUUCACUGCCUACAACUGAGUUAGUUUUAGGGCUAGAAUUAUUUCUUUUCUAGAAAGGAGAAAUUUCCUAAAUCUAAUCUGAAAUGAAUUCCCUGCAUCCCCUUUGUAACUGAAUGGUUCACUGGGAACUUUGCAACAUCCCUGUGAGACAGAGUAGGCAGUCACCUUUUACAGGGUUACAAAGGUAGUCUGGGACUGAGCUGGGACUUAGUGCUGGUCUCCACAGACCACACUGUGAAAGCAGGCACCUUUGUGGCCAGGCUCAGGUGCUGCCAUGCUAGCCUUUUCCAUUAGGUGACAUGUGCUUUAUAUAGAGAUCAUUGCUUGAACUAGUGGAUAUCAGAAGAGGGGUAAAUGCAUUUCAAAAACAAUACAGGAAAUAUGGAAUACAAAGCAGCAUAAAAGGGAAUGUAUAUCUGUGUUCAUUUCCUCAUUUGUGACUUUAGUGGUUAUUCUACAUAUGAAGGAAUGAAUAGCAUUUGAGAAGAAAACAUUUUAGGCUGGCUGAGAAAAGAAAGAAAAUAGUCUGAGACAUCAGUUCCUGUUAAAUAUAUUUGUAAAUUAUUGAUAUCUUGGAUACUCAGUGGGGAAAAAUGAGGCAUGACCUUCCCUUCACCAGGAGAUGGUGCUGUUUAAUACUUAACUCAUUCUGAGAGGGCUGCAGUAAGUCCUUUCUCCUGCUCCAGACUGCAAGCUGCAGUCCAUGGGAUGUUACUGCCUCAUC
rnacentral:lncRNA from 14 species